rnacentral:rRNA from 1 species
GAUGAACGCUGGCGGCGUGCCUAAUACAUGCAAGUCGAGCGAACGGACGAGAAGCUUGCUUUUCUGAUGUUAGCGGCGGACGGGUGAGUAACACGUGGAUAACCUACCUAUAAGACUGGGAUAACUUCGGGAAACCGGAGCUAAUACCGGAUAAUAUUUUGAACCGCAUGGUUCAAAAGUGAAAGACGGUCUUGCUGUCACUUAUAGAUGGAUCCGCGCGUCAUUAGCUAGUUGGUAAGGUAACGGCUUACCAAGGCAACGAUGCAUAGCCGACCUGAGAGGGUGAUAGGCAAAACUGGAACUGAGACACGGUCCAGACUCCUACGGGAGGCAGCAGUAGGGAAUCUUCCGCAAUGGGCGAAAGCCUGACGGAGCAAGGCCGCGGGAGUGAUGAAGGUCUUCGGAUCGUAAAACUCUGUUAUUAGGGAAGAACAGAUGUGUAAGUAACUGUGCACAUCUUGACGGUACCUAAUCAGAAAGCCACGGCUAACUACGUG